CCAGCGCACACAGGUGGGGGCUGCUUACUGAACUCCCUGCGUAGAGUGAGAGACAGCAGCUGCCUGCUAGCUGGCUAAUAAAAGGCUCUCUAAAUUCUGUUUGGCUGUCUCGUACUUUAACUCGCGGGCACCGUAACAUUUGGAGGCCCCAGCGAGAAUUAUCUCAGUGUUUGCUGAGGCUCAUAGGUCGAGGCAAAGGUCUGACUACCGGCCGUCCCCCAGGGGGCGCGCGCUGAGAGACGGUCCUCAGCCCUGGCAGAGAACCAAGUGGUCAAGCCUCGAAAUUCAAAAAUCCGCCUCUGGAGCUGUCUGGACGUGGGCCCACAACGCCCACAUGGGACAACUGUCAACAACUUCUGCAAAGCCUUUUCACGUCAGAAGAGAGAGAAAAUCCAUGCCCAAGGAUGGAAACUAGUCGUGGGGCCAGACAGUCUGCCAACCACGGAGGUAGACCACCUCGAAGCUGUUUUUUCCCUUCACCCAACCCCGGUGGGACCCUAACACUGAUCAAGUCCUUACAGGCCUUGCAGUAUAACUCCAGAAACAACCACUGCACCAUCCGCGCCCACCACCUGACACCUAACGCCGCGAGAACAGGAACCCCCACGGUUGACUCUUUAGAGUAAACUGGAACUUACCGAAAGCGGCCAAUACAUACCUAGGUGGGGGACGUGCGAAAUUGCAAGGCUUUAGCUGUAGAAACCUAAACUUGGAACAGGGACUAUAAGAUAGUCAGCACUAUAUCUGUCCACAAGAAAGUACCUCAGCAGCAUGUGGAAAAAAAAAAUUAUUUCUGUUACAAUUAGGACUAUAAAACUAUAGCCCCAUAAAAAAAUGUAAACCGUCUGUUAAGGGUCACAGGGAAUAAAAGGCCAAAAGCUCCUACUAAAAAUUGUGCAAUUAAAAGCUAUAACCCUGUUACUUUUAAACCACAGCAGUUUUGGAAGAAUUCCCAGUGGUUGGGGGAAACAAACGUGGAAAUUGCACCUGUAUGUAUCAAGACUUUAGGUAACUUUCAAAGACAAAAAACAUGUUUCCAGUCCCCUCAGUUCCCCGUAUCUACUUCUCCUUAUGCUAAUUGUUGUGCCUCUGUACUACUCUGGGGAGGGAGGUAGAAAGCACUCGGGCUAACUAGCCUCCAACGAGUUGAGUCAAGCAAGGAGGACCAGUAUUAGUGCCGGUACUACUUGGGCUUAAAGUAGCCAGAGCAGCCACAGUAAAAACUGCAGCACUUGUCACAGGGAACCAAAACUUUAAAAUCCUUAGUAAACUCAUGGUUUUGCAAUCUCAAUAUCAACACCUAUCCUCAGAAGAAACAGUAAUUUGAUUCUCCCUAAAAACCAGUGGGGAAUGAAGUGAGGUCCCUUUCCCUUAAUCCCAAAACAUCUGCAAAGCAACAGUGUUGUGUAAACAGCAUUAGGCCAUGAGGA